GACAGAGGGUGCAAACGUUGCUCGGAUUUACUGGGCGUAAAGCGCGUGUAGGCGGGCGACUAAGUCGGAUGUGAAAUCCCUGGGCUCAACCUAGGAACUGCAUUCGAAACUGGUCACCUAGAGUGAUGGAGAGGAAAGCGGAAUUCCCGGUGUAGAGGUGAAAUUCGUAGAUAUCGGGAGGAACACCAGUGGCGAAGGCGGCGAUCUGGGAAGAUACUGACGCUGAGGUGGCGAAAAGCGUGGGGAGCAAACAGG
rnacentral:rRNA from 1 species